UACAGAGGUCCCAAGCGUUGUUCGGAUUCACUGGGCGUAAAGGGCGCGUAGGCGGUCGGGUAAGUCUGAUGUGAAAUCUCACAGCUUAACUGUGAAACUGCAUUGGAUACUAUCCGGCUCGAGGAAUGGAGGGGAGACUGGAAUACUUGGUGUAGCAGUGAAAUGCGUAGAUAUCAAGUGGAACACCAGUGGCGAAGGCGAGUCUCUGGACAUUUACUGACGCUGAGGCACGAAAGCCAGGGGAGCAAACCGG
rnacentral:rRNA from 1 species